AAUAUUGCGCAAUGGAGGAAACUCUGACGCAGCGACGCCGCGUGAGCGAUGAAGGUCUUCGGAUCGUAACGCUCUGUCCUCAGGGAAGAAGAAAGUGACGGUACCUGAGGAGGAAGCCCCGGCUAACCACGUGCCACCAGCCGCGGUAAUACGUAGGGGGCAAGCGUUGUCCGGAAUUAUUGGGCGUAAAGGGUGCGUAGGCGGCUUUUUAAGUCAGAUGUGAAAGCCCACGGCUCAACCGUGGGAUUGCAUUUGAAACUGGAGGGCUUGAGUAUCGGAGAGGGUAGUGGAAUUCCCAGUGUAGCGGUGAAAUGCGUAGAUAUUGGGAGGAACACCAGUGGCGAAGGCGACUACCUGGACGAUUACUGACGCUGAUGCACGAAAGCUAGGGGAGCAAAC
rnacentral:rRNA from 1 species